rnacentral:rRNA from 1 species
CCUACGGGGGGCUGCAGUGGGGAAUAUUGGACAAUGGGCGAAAGCCUGAUCCAGCCAUGCCGCGUGUGUGAAGAAGGCCUUCGGGUUGUAAAGCACUUUCAGUGGGGAAGAAAGCCUUGGGGCUAAUACCCUCGAGGAAGGACAUCACCCACAGAAGAAGCACCGGCUAACUCCGUGCCAGCAGCCGCGGUAAUACGGAGGGUGCGAGCGUUAAUCGGAAUUACUGGGCGUAAAGCGCGCGUAGGCGGUCUGAUAAGCCGGUUGGGAAAGCCCCGGGCUCAACCUGGGAACGGCAUCCGGAACUGUCAGGCUAGAGUGCAGGAGAGGAAGGUAGAAUUCCCGGUGUAGCGGUGAAAUGCGUAGAGAUCGGGAGGAAUACCAGUGGCGAAGGCGGCCUUCUGGACUGACACUGACGCUGAGGUGCGAAAGCGUGGGUAGCAAACAGGAUUAGAUACCCUAGUAGUC